rnacentral:rRNA from 1 species
UACGUAGGUGGCAAGCGUUGUUCGGAAUUAUUGGGCGUAAAGGGCGCGUAGGCGGUUGGUUAAGUCAGCUGUGAAAGCCCGGGGCUCAACCCCGGAGGGUCGGCUGAUACUGAUUGACUAGAGUACGGAAGAGGCGAGUGGAAUUCCCGGUGUAGUGGUGGAAUGCGUAGAGCUCCGGAAGGAACACCAGUGGCGAAGGCGGCCGACCUGGGCCUUUGC